ensembl:lncRNA
AUAUAGAACUCUUUAAGGCCACACGUAAGGGGAAUGUGCGCUCACCUGAAGGCUAUUCUCCAGGAACCUAAAGGGGUUAGAACAGCAGGAGUCCUAAGAAAGCAUUUCUUUUUGUAAAAGCCUGGGGGAGGAGAACAACAGCCACUGUGGGAAAGGCAGGAAACAACUAAGAUCCUUCUCCAAAUAGAACAAAAGACUCAAACGGAAAGGAUUUACUGCAAAGACCCACAUUUCCCAGUGCGACUUAGAAAGGCCAUUUGAAGACACAGCAAGAAGGUGGCCAUUUACAAGCAAGAAAGAGAGCUGUCACCAGAAACCAAAUCUGCUAGCACCUUGAUCUCAAACUUCCCAGCCUCUAGAACUGUGAGAAAAUAAAUGCUCUUCUCCAAAGACGUCACUGGACACUCAAAUCAAAGAUUGGAGAGAUCCCAAAAAAGCAUUCCUCAUAGUAGGAGCCAGAGUGAGGAGAAUAGCAGCAGUGAAUCCUACCAAGAUAUGUUUCUUCUAUUUCAUCUAUGGAACAAAACCCCUAAAUGUGAAAGAGUGUCUGGCUACGUCUUCUCCAUGUGGGACACCUACCAAAGCAUGGCGUGCCAAGUGGUGCCAUGUCCGCACCCAGGAUCCGAACCCACGAACCCCAGGCCGCAGAGAAGUGGAACGUGGGAACUUAACUGCUGCGCUACUGGGCCAGCCCUCAGCACUUUUGAACAUGUGGCCUUGUGCUGACACUUCUCUGCUAGACUCCUAACCUUCCAAUAAGACACUUUCAUCCAUGGGUGAUUGUCUAAACCAGUGCUUCUUGGAGAGAAGAUAGUAGGAAACUCUUAUUCUGCCAUGGUAAUAACAUCACUAUUAACUUUUUUUCCCUGAUACUCCUUAUAUAGAGGUUUCUAUCUGCAAGGUGAGCCCUGUCCCCAUUUAUGUCUCCAUCUUAUCUUAUAAAUAUGAAAAUAACAUGUGCAUGAAGACUUUUCUUUUUCACUGUUGUGUAUUUUUAUAAAUCUGGCCUAUGGAUAUAUUUUAUUUAGUCACAAAUAUUGGCAGACACUAACUGGAAUGCUGAUUCCAGUUAAAACUUAUCUUUCACUUCUUUAAUGCAUCCAUUGUUUCUGUUACUCAAAUAGUAUCUUAUUAAGCAGCGUUAUUUAAUAACUGAUAUUUUCAAAAUAAUUCAUGGGUGUUAAAUUAGAGUAUAAACACAUUAGAUAGAGGUACUCAAUGUUUUGUUAGUUUAGUUAAGGUUAGGUUAGCUCUUAUGUAUUUCCACAACACUUAAUAUAUUGCCGAGCACAUAGUAACAACUCAAUUAAUCAUUGUUGAUUGAUUACAAAACAGAGAUUUAAGAUUACCACAGUGAUGAAGGAUAUAGGAGAAUUAAUUGUGUGUGUCUCCUUGAGAAACACCCUUGUAUUUUCUAAGACAGCCAGCGUGUGUUGCUGAGGUAUUAUGGAGUUUUCAGGCAUGGAGGAGUAAACAGGAAAAGAAAAAAAGUAAAAGUUGCUAGUAAAUCUUCCUGAUCCAAGGCUUUAUUCAUAUGUAGUAGCUUUUCUUGACAGUACUGAAGAAUUUUAGAGACUCUAAGGUAGAAACUAAACACAAGAAGACACAACACAACAUUGGGUUCAAAUCAAGCUCUAUCUCCCAGUAAAUUUGUGAGUUUGGGAAUUCUCUUAAGUUUUCUAAGAGUCAGUUUUCUCGUUUAUAAAAAAUGAAAUGUUACUUGCACCCAGGAUUAAAUGAAAUGAGGACUGUCCCAUUCAAGGCCAAUACAGAAAUGUUUUCAAGUGGUUUUAUGAUGCAAGUGUUGGUUACUUUCCACUAAAGAUAUAAUAAAUGAGUAUUCAUUUUACAAAAUAAUCAUUAACUUUAAAUAUGGAUUUCCAAUAAUAUUUCUUUAAGUGCUUUUUAAAUAUAAGUAUGCUUUACUUUUCUGAUUUAUGUAACCAUUUUAAUAACAUGGUUAAAUGUAUUUUGAAUUAUUCAUUUAUGGAAUUUUAAAUACACAUCCACACAUUUUACUAAAUAAAGUAAUAUUUGACUUAGAGUAACAUUUCUCUGUGUUAUAUAGACUUAGUUGUAAUAAACUGUGCUUAUAUAAAGAAAUAUGUUUUAAGUAUAAAAUAAAUAGGUUUCUAAGUCCAUCUAUGGAA